UAAAUGUUUCAAAAAUGUACUCCAGAUAUUUCAAAUCGAAAUCUCAAAUAUUACAAAAUUUACAGGCCGUUACGUAGAGCAGUGUCAAGCACCGGCCGAGCGUUUUUUUUGGACCUUAGGGACAUGAUUGAAGGCGCUGUACUUAACAAAUCGUCACCAAAAUUUUUCACAAUGUUUCCUACCGUUGUCAUUGACAAAUGAACUACAAUUAGUGAAAAAUCUCUUAGGUUACACAACUGGCAAACACAAAGUGCAGAACUUGGGAAUCUGAAGCAUUUCUAUACACAUACACGCACAUUUCGUUUGGUUUACACAACUGGCAAACACAAAGUGCACAUGGGAGAUAUCUAUAUGUAUACACAUACAAUACACACACCAUUCGACUUGGUUUCUUAGACGCUUUUCUCACUCAACAAAAAUAAACUUGAAAUAAUAAGGAACACAUUUAUUAUA